rnacentral:tmRNA from 2 species
GGGGCCGACAUGGUUUCGACGUGGGUAGCGAAGCGAUUCAGGGCAUACCGAGGACCCGUCACCUCGUUAAUCAAUGGGAAAUUAGUAACUGCUAACGAUAACUCGUACGCACUGGCUGCCUAAGGGCGCCUUCCUCGCACUGGCUCGCUGACGGGCCAGGGUAGCAAUACCUCGCGAGGUCAUUUACGUCAGAUAAUCUCCGGUGGUGCCAUGGCGCCGGGGCCGAAAAUUAAAUGGAUCGCCGUUGCGUAGCGUGUUCGUCCGCGACAAAACGGUUAAAUCAAAUGACUGAACUAAGUAUGUAGAACUGGUCGUAGAGUACUUGCGGACGCGGGUUCGAUCCCCGCCGGCUCCACCA